GGUCAUAGUAGGCCAUUGCGUAUUUACAAGUUUCAGAGUAAAGAACAUAUGAUUCUCAAAACAUGUCUUAAUAAGUCUGGUCCUCUAGUAAAAAUCUGAGUCAGCCACAUGUAUCUGGGUCUGUGAGUGACAUGGUCCUUCUGUAACAUUCCCAAGCACCUGUACUGUCCCACUGUAGAUACAGCAGCCUGCUGGAGUUGCUGCUGCUGGUAGUACUGCUCCCCUGUAUUCCUCAGACAGUAGCAGUGACGAGCUGUGUGUGUUCCCUCAGAUAGACUGUAGUGUGUGUGUGUGAGUCAGGAGGGAGAGGCAGAGGGAAGCCCAGGCUGUUCCAAGACUGAUCUCUGGUCCCUUAUGGCUGUAUGACAGGGACACAGAGAUCCCCAUGGAUAGCUGCUGCUUGCCUCCCUGCCUCCCUCCCUCCCUGCCUGCCUGCCUGCCUGCGUGCGGGUCCCCUCCUGUUUGCUCAUACUGAGGUGGCAGAGGAGGGAAGAGAGGCGGGAGCAGGGGCCGUGGCUCCCCGUGCCGGGGAUACCCAGGGGGAGUGUGGGGUUGUGAGGAGUGCUGAGGGGACACGUCAGCCAGGCCGAUGCCAGUGUAGUGCCACGUGGGCCAGAAGGCGGGCACGGGGGCGGGUACAGCGGCGUGAGAGCCUCUCCCUGCCGAGGGAGGGCGAGGGAGGAAAUUAUACGACAGCGGAUCGUUAAGAGACUGGCAUUGACUGCGGCGUGCUAAUUUAUGCAAAUUAAGGUCUGAGCCCAUGCGAGAGGAAGGGGUGGGGAGGCGGGUGUUGCUGUUUGGCUGGUAGCCAGCAUCUAGCAGUGAAAAGGUUAAACAGCCGAGCUGCGCUACAUUGGAGGUUAAGAAAGUUCUGCUGUGUGAGCCGGGAGCGCCAUGACAUGCUGGGAACAAUGACAAAGGCAAACGGAGCCCCGUCCACGCCAGCCUUCUUCCUGGCAAGGCGGGCAGACAGGCGACCAAUCAGGGGGCACGCUGGCUCUCCCCUGCCCGAUUGGCAUGGCCCCCCGGCCCCCCUCCUCCCCUCCUCGCUGCUCCGCAGCUGCCCAGGAUGAUUUUGUAAACAUUUUGCCAGCGGAUCAAUAGCCGUAUUGAUCAACCAUUGUGAGAGUGAUCCGUCUAAAACCCAGAGCAGCCUAGAGCUCAGAGAUGGGAGGAGCGAGAGAGAGAGGCUGCGGAGAGGAUGAAGAAAGGGAAAGAGAGAAAGAGAGGGAGAGAGAGAGAGGCUGCAGCCACAGAGAGUGGAAGAAGAGGUAGAGGGGAGAGAAGGGGAUCUCAGAGAGAGAGGCAGACGGAGGCACAUUUCGGACGGCGCAAGGCGAGCAAGAGAGGCCAUUGGGAUUGUGGAGAAAUGCGUUGUAAUCGUUUUCUCGUUAAGGGAGGGAAGGAGGGAGGGGCGACUAAUGAGCCUGGCUCUAAGUAUGCAGGGAAAAUAAAACGCCUGGAUGAGAAGAACCAGUAAAUAGAUUUGCAAAUGUCUUCUCAAUUUACCCAACAACGACUUGGGUCAGAGGAGGCCCAGAACAUACAACAGUCAUCAGUGACAACCAGGAGGCUUUUUAUUGGAGCAGAAGGGAAUUCCUUGAUGGUAAAAGGCCAAACUAAAGGCCCAUAUCCAUGGAAUUGCAUCUUAGAGAUACAGACAUCAGGACAGAGGAAGACUAUGCUAAAUGUAGGAUGCCUCACUCAGCAUGUUCAGAUACUGUAACACUGACUUCAGUGAUGCCAGGAAAAAGUCGACAUCCUUGGAAUGAUGGACGUUGGACUAUUGGUCGUCUGGUCAUGGAAUUGAAAGUCCUCACUAGGGUGGAGACGGUUUCCUUCUGGAAUAAUGAGCUAUUUACCUUCUACAUUAGAUGGAUAGUGAUGGGGCUUGAAUUCUGUUUUUUUUAAAUCAUUUUUUGUAUUUUGGGGAUAUAUCUAUUUUUUGUGGUCAGGCAUGAAUCCAAAAGACAUGCACAUGACCAGUCUGAUGCAUUUUCAGCAUUUUAUGGAGGUGCUGGUCUGGACUGGCAGCACAAUGGAUGUACAGCACAACGCUCCAAGGCUAAGCACAGAGGAGGGCCAGUCACAUGACCCAAAGGGAAAUCAAGUUUUUAUUGAUUGAUUUUAAAAGUGCUUUUUUUUGUCUCAUGCAUAGGAGUGGAUGUUUGGGGACUGAUUCACCAUAAUAUUGCGGACAGACUUUGUAUGAUGCUGCCCUGAGACCUGGCCUACUCUGUGCAGGAUAAAUACUUGUCUUAGGCAGUACUGAAUCCCUGAUCUCAGACCAGUGGAUAUGACAUGCACUCUGAAUGCUGUCUUCCUGUGUUCCAGAAGGAGACUGGGGAAAAGACUGAACGUUGUGUGCUGCAGGAGACAGAAAAACCUGCAUGGAGUUCUAGUUAGUUAUUUGUAAAGUCAAACAGUCAAACUAUAACAGAUAACAAAUACUGGAACUGUACACAAUACACAACCUCCACAAUAAGAAAACCUCCUAUUUGUCCUUGCACUUUGAGCCUAUUUGUUUCAAAACAUCUCAAGGACAUGUUGUGAAUAAUAUGUCUAUCAGUGCAACGUGUGCUAAUGUGAGACUUUAAGACUUUAACAAGCUUUAUACCCGUCAGAGUAAACAGGAACAAUGGUAAAACAUUCAUUGCCAGAAAUCUUAUUAAUUUGUUGACCGUGCCAUAUUAAUUUGGUUUACUUGUCCGUGCUGAACUGUUUAGAAGAUGAACUGUUUAGAUGUUGAACUGUUUAGAUGUUGAAGUUGAACUGUUUAGAUGUUGAAGUUGAACUGUUUAGAUGUUGAACUGUUUAGAUGUUGAACUGUUUAGAUGUUGAACUGUUUAGAUGUUGAACUGUUUUAGAUGUUGAACUGUUUAGAUGUUGAACUGUUUAGAUGAAGAACUGUUUAGAAGUUGAACUGUUUAGAUGUUGAAGUUGAACUGUUUAGAUGUUGAACUGUUUAGAUGUUGAAGUUGAACUGUUUAGAUGUUGAACUGUUUAGAUGUUGAACUGUUUAGAUGUUGAACUGUUUAGAUGUUGAACUGUUUAGAUGAAGAACUGUUUAGAUGUUGAACUGUUUAGAUGUUGAACUGUUUAGAUGUUGAAGUUGAACUGUUUAGAUGAAGAACUGUUUAGAUGUUGAACUGUUUAGAUGUUGAAGUUGAACUGUUUAGAUGAAGAAACCAUGGUGAGGCUUAAUGUUGAGAGGGCACUUUCUAUUCCCUGCUAGGUUUAUUCUAAGGGGCAUCAAUGGCUGCUCACUAAGUGGAAAUAAUGAAGAACGUUCUCAAUAAUAAAUAACAAGACCACAAUCAGA